rnacentral:lncRNA from 1 species
AUUAAUUUUAUCCCGUUUCUUUCCAGAGCAGUUGGUGAUGCCCACUCUCUGGAAUCACCCAUUCCCGAAGCAGGAGAUCCUAACUGUAGCCCUAUUCAGCCGUAAAGUACGACUUCCAUAUGGCACUCUAAAUAUUGCCGAGAAACUAGAAGACAGUUUGGUGUGGAACCCUGGGACGAUCUCUCAGAUGCUCUCUAUACCUGGGAAAAGAGAAAGAAUCUGGUCAUCGAGUUACUGCCCUUUUUGCAAAGAAACUUUCCUCAUCUCCAAACCCACCCCAGGCAUGGAGAAUAGCUGUCCUCAAGAAUCUCUGUCUUUGGAUCUUAGAAUGUGCCUAUGGACCCCUAACUGUUCUUUCUGGCUUCAAAAUCCACAUCUACAAGCUCACUUCCAGCAGACACUAGUGAGAUCCAUGGAAGACAGCUGUUUAUGUGCUAUAUCUCUCUGUGCUUUGCAAGAACUGAAUUUCACUUGCUCUGAUACCCUAUUGAAGCUGUCUGGUCGGAUGCUGACCACAUCACCCGAAGAGCGGCAGCUCCUUAUCCAAUGGCAACAGAAUUUCUCCUUAAGUUCCCACCCAUUUUCUGUGGAUGGGAUAUUCCUCAGAACUAAUGCACCCUGCGCACCUUCCAGUGAAGUGGUACCAAUAUCUAAAGCUUCAUUUCAAGCUUGGAAAAUUGCUUUUUUGAUCUUGGGUUCCAUUUCGUUCAUACUACUGUUAAUCGGUGGAGCUGUCUAUUGUAUAAAAAGACCGCAGAAUUACAACAACAUUGAACUGAGCGAUCGCUGUGAGAUUAUUUCAGCCAUUUGACUACCAGGAAGCGCCUCCGUAAAGAAAAAGGCUAUUUGGGAUCUAAGGAAGAGGUAAAUCUCAGAAGAACGUUCCAGCCAACUGACCACAGUGUAAAACGGAUCAAAUUCCUGGAGUAUUUAUGUUGAGGAUGUUGUUUUUCUGCUCUCCCAUGGAGUGUGAGAAAACCUACCUCUUCGUUUCUACAAGCAUCUCUCACUGCCAGGUUGAGUGAAAAAAUUGGUGGGGGUGCCAUGAUAUUUUCCACACCCACCAUAAAAAUAAAAAAUAAAUGUGUAGCCA